UUGAUCCUGGCUCAGAAUCAACGCUGGCGGCGUGCCUAACACAUGCAAGUCGAACGCGAAAGGGGGCUUCGGCUCCUGAGUAGAGUGGCGUCCGGGUGAUUAACACGUGGGUAAUCUGCCUUCGGGUGGGGAAUAACCCAGGGAAACUUUGGCUAAUACCGCAUAAUGCAGCGGCACCUAAUGGUGAUUAGUUGUUAAAUCGGGGGAUCGCAAGACCUCGCGCCUGAAGAGGAGCCUGCGGCAGAUUAGUUAGUUGGUGAGGUAAUGGCUCACCAAGGCUUCGAUCUGUAGCUGGUCUGUGAGGACGGCCAGCCACACUGGCACUGACACACGGGCCAGACUCCUACGGUAGGCAGCAGUGGGGAAUUUUGGGCAAUGGGCGAAAGCCUGACCCAGCAAUGCCGCGUGAGGGAGGAAAUCCUUCGGGAUGUAAACCUCACAAGCAAGGGUAGAGAGCUACGGGCUGAAUAAUCCCGUAGUACGACGGUACCUUGCGUAAUCCACGGCUAACUACGUGCCAGCAGCCGCGGUAAUAAGGU
rnacentral:rRNA from 1 species